rnacentral:lncRNA from 1 species
UUUUUUUUUUUUCUUUUUUUUUAAGUGGCUGCCCUGUGGCAUAUGGAAGUUCCUGUGCCGGGACUGAAACUGAGCCACAGCUGUGACCUACACCGCAGCUGCAGCAAUGCCGGAUCCUUUAACCCACUGCACCAGCCAGGGAUUGAACCCACACCUCUGCAGUGUCUGGAGCCGCUGCAGUCAGAUUCCUAACCCACUGCACCACAGGGGGAACUCCUCCAGGGUCAUUUUGGCUGAAGAUGUGGUUUCAAUGCACUGACCCAAAGGAAGCAAAGUCACAAGAUUCUUUACCUGCAGGUCCCAGAAAUGGACGUGGGGGAGCAUAAAGAGCGGGAAGAAGGCCAGUCCUCCGUCCCAGGUCAUGGGUGAGCAGGACACAGAGAACAGGAUUUAUAAAGUGGCUGUGGAAUUCCCGUCGUCAUGGCUCAGUGGUUAACAAAUCCAACUAGGAACCAUGAGGUUGCGGGUUCGAUCCCUGGCCUCGCUCAGUGGAUUAAGGAUCGGGCAGUCGCUGUGAGCUGUGGGGUAGGUCGCAGACGUGGCUUGGAUCCCUCGUUGCUGUGGCUUCGGUGUCAGCCGGCCCCGAUUAGACCCCUAGCCCAGGAGCCUCCGUAUGCCGCAGGUGCGGUCCUAGAAAAGGCAAAAAGAAAAAAAUAAAGUGGCUUAUAACCUCGCAGGCUCAACUCUAAGUGUUAUUUUAAAAGGUGCCCCAGGAAAAGCAAAGUGGAAAUAUGGGCGGGAAUCUGAAGCUCAGUCCCUUAUCUGAAUGUCCAGACGCUGGGUGUCAGCAGGAUGGUGCCGACACGGCCACGCAGAAGAGCUGUUUUCUCGUCACGUCUGUGUUUCCUCCUCUCCAAAAGGGAGGUAACAGUAGUGACCUGUCUUAACAGGAUUGUCGAGGAGUCAGAGUAGUGGAGCUGGGCUUAGAACAGGGCCCGGCACGUGUGUACCCAGUGAAAGUUGGUUUUUAUAAUCAGUUCUGGGGACGAUUCUUUAGAGACGCCUGCAGACAGAAGGCAGCAGAUGGAGAGGGUGUGCAUCAAGGCAGGGGACAAGCCGGUCACCUCUGGGAAGGCCGGAGGCAUCGGGAAGGUUGAGAGCAGAAAAGCGAAAGCUCGGAGCGUGGAGAAAACAUCCCAUGUUCGGAGAAAUUUCUCCUCGUGCUUCUCCUUUGCGUUCUGUAGGACUCGCAGUAGAAAGGCUGGAAACAGUCCCGGGAGAAGUGAGGAAGGCAGGGGAUGGAGUUGAGAACGUACAGGUUCAUAACCAGUAACAGCAGGUUUGAACCCCCGUUCUGUCCCUCACUAGCUGCACCACUGUGGAGGCUGCUCAGAUUUUUGAACUUGAGUGUGUGUGUCUGUGAACAGGAAAUCGUAAUAGUGCCUUCUGAUGUUUUGAAUGAAAGAGGUGACAGGCACGGUUCUCGGCUAAGGCAGACGGGGAUCUGUUAGAUGCGUCAUUGUCCAAGAUUUGGCUCUCACCUCUUUUUAGGGCCCCACCCGCAGCAUAGGGAGGGUCCCAGGGUAGGGGUUGAAUCGGAGCUGCAGCCACCGGCCUACGCCACAGCCACUGCAACACCGGAUCCAAACCACACUUGAGACCUACACCACAGCUCACAGUAAUGUUGGAUCCUUAACCCACUGAGUGGGGCCAGGGAUUGAACCUGCGUCCUCAUGGAUUCUAGUUGGGUUCAUUACCACUGAGCCACAGUAGGAACUCCCAAUCUGGCCCUCAACUUUGCAGGCUAAACUUUUGCUAUUAAUUUAGCUAGGCUGAUGCUAACACAGCUUUUUCGGGGUUAUGGUAGGUUGAACAGGGCCUCCGAAGAUCUGUCCAUGUUGGAACCCUUGAAACCUGUGAGUGUGACCUUCUUUGGGAAAAGGCUCUUUGCAGGUAUAAUUAAGGACCUUGAAAUGAGACCCUCCUGGAUUUUCCAGGGGGGCCCUAAGUGUCGUAGCAGGUGUCCAUCAGAGGGAGGAAGAGACUAGGGCGAGGCACCCCAGGCAGGGAGCCCCGGGAGCCCCCAGAUGCUGGGAGAGGCAGGAGGGACCCUCCCCCAGAGCCUUCGGAGGGAGUGUGGGUUUCUGGCCUCCAGAACUGCGAGAGAAUGUCUCUUGUUUUCAGCCACUCUUUUUGUGGUAAUUUGUUAGAGCAGCCUCUGGAUAGAGUCUCCUUGAUUAGAGAAAGCUAUUUGGCCUAAUGGAUGAUAAAAAAUAAAUGUAAGAAAAUAAUUCAUCAGAAGAAGGUGUGGUUAGUAAUGAAAACCAGAUACGCUGGGUUUGGAGAAGAAAAUGUCACCAACUCUUGCCAUGUCCAUUCAUCCCUGGCCAGAUGAAGAGGACACAGCCUUCUGGUUCCGGCAGGAGUGAACUGUUGAGUGGGGCUGGGAUGCCCCACCAUGAGGCCACUUCCCAGUCCGAGGGACGCUUCCCAGGCUGUGCCCGUCUUUGCUGCACCUCAGAGUUUGCCAGCGAGCACUCGGUGCCGGAUCACGGCUGAGACUCGCUCCCAGGUCAGAGGACGCCCCGCCCAGCCCCGUGUGGGAUAAACCGCCCCACGGUCGUGGAGCUUCGCCAGCCAGCGGUUACCCAGUAUGAUCUCUUCAUGAGGGGAUCGGAGAGGUUGUACAGGAAGUUAUUUGAAAGUAUCUAACUCAGGUCUUCACAGAUCGGUUUGGACAGAGAGCCCAGGCAGGACAAAAUGACAACCACGUCGCGAGUACCAGUGACACUUCGCGGUGCCUUGAUCCUGGGAAAGAGCGGGCCCUGGCGAAACAAUUCCCGGCAGGUGGAUGGCAGUUAGGACCUAAGCUGGUUUUCCUUUUAUACUUCAGCCUUGUACUGGUUUCCUAGGGCUGCAGUAACAGAUCACCACGAGGGCUCUAGGGGAAAACGCCUCCACGCCUCCUGCAGGUUCCAGUGGCUGUCCCCCCACCCCUCAGCUGUGCGGCCCCCGCUCCCCUCUCUGCCGUGUCUUCGCGUCCCCUCCUCUGUGUCCCUGUCACCUUCCUUUCCCUUUGAGGACCCUUGCCGUGGUUUUAGGACCCGCCCACCUAGUCCACCUGGACUGUCCUCAUCUGUAAACCCUUCAUGAAGUCACAUCUGCAGAGACCUCUUUUCCACGUAAAAUAACGUUUACAAAUUCCCAGGCUUAAGAUUCUGUGUCUUUGGGCGGCCAUUAUUCAACUGGGCUUAGGAGACAGAAUAAAUCCCCCCGUUACGUUUUUGUUUCUCAUUUGUGUUUAUACUUCCAAAUGGGUGAUACAGGCCAUGGAUUAAUAUUUAAAGGUACAAAGAGAUACCAAGAACAGUCCUCUCUUUCUUGCUCUGGAAGGGGGUUUUGCAGAUCUAUUUCCUUUCUGAUAAUUCAUUGAGCUGUACUCUUAGGAUUUGUAAACUUUAUUCUGUAUGUUAAACUUUAAGACAUUUAACUGCAGAAAAAAAACCCAUAAAGGAUCUUUCAUUCACUCUAUUUCCUCCCCUGAAUGUUUCUCCCUCUUCCCUGCUUAUCCAGAUUCUCCUUUAUUCUUUCAAAGCCUCGUCUCACCUCUAGUAAUUCUUCCCUGGGGGCUCCAGCUGUGCGUGGUCCACCCUCGGAAUCCCGUAGCACUGUCAGUACCAUGCUUCUGUGGCAGCUCCGUCUGCGUUGUCUUGGCAUUUAAACUUGGAGUUUGGGAGUUCCCUGGUGGCUCAGCUGGUAAAGGACCCAACUUUAUGAGGAUUCGAGUUUGAAUCCCUGGAUUAAGGAUCUGGCAUUGCUGUGAGCUGUGGCAUAGAUCAUAGAUGUGGUUUGGAUCUGGUGUGGCCAUGGCCAUGGCCUAGGCUGGCAGCUACAGUUCUGAUUGGACCCCAGGCCCGGAAACUUCCAUAGGCUGCAGGUGCAGCU